rnacentral:rRNA from 1 species
GCAGGGUCCGAGUUGUAAUUUGUAGAGGAUGCUUCGGGUCCGGCUCCGGUCUAAGUUCCUUGGAACAGGACGUCACAGAGGGUGAGAAUCCCGUACGUGACCGGCCGCCACGCCCGUGUGAAGCUCCUUCGACGAGUCGAGUUGUUUGGGAAUGCAGCUCAAAAUGGGUGGUAAAUUUCAUCUAAAGCUAAAUACCGGCCAGAGACCGAUAGCGCACAAGUAGAGUGAUCGAAAGAUGAAAAGCACUUUGGAAAGAGAGUUAAAAAGUACGUGAAAUUGUUGAAAGGGAAGCGCUUGCAACCAGACUUGCCCGCGGGUGAUCAGCCGGUAUUCUUACCGGUGCACUCGCCCGUGGUCAGGCCAGCAUCGGUUUGGGCGGCUGGACAAAGGCCCCCGGAAUGUAGCUCCUCUCGGGGAGUGUUAUAGCCGGAGGUGCAAUGCAGCCAGCCCGGACCGAGGACCGCGCUUCGGCUAGGAUGCUGGCGUAAUGGUUGUAAGCGACCCGUCUUGAAACACGGACCAAGGAGUCUAACAUCUAUGCGAGUGUUUGGGUGUCAAACCCAUGCGCGUAAUGAAAGUGAACGGAGGUGGGAACCCUCAAGGGUGCACCAUCGACCGAUCCUGAUGUCUUCGGAUGGAUUUGAGUAGGAGCAUAGCUGUUGGGACCCGAAAGAUGGUGAACUAUGCCUGAAUAGGGUGAAGCCAGAGGAAACUCUGGUGGAGGCUCGCAGCGGUUCUGACGUGCAAAUCGAUCGUCAAAUUUGGGUAUA